rnacentral:rRNA from 1 species
UGCCACAGCCAUAUCACCCUGCAGCCCAAGACUGGUUGCCCACUGAAGCUAAGCAGGGUUGAGCCUGGUCAGUACCUGGAUGGGAGACCUCCUGGGAAAACUAGGCUGCUGUUGGAA